rnacentral:rRNA from 1 species
UCGAGAAUCUUCCGCAAUGGACGAAAGUCUGACGGAGCGACGCCGCGUGCGGGAUGAAGGCCUUCGGGUUGUAAACCGCUGUCAGUUGGGAGGAAAUGCAUGGUGGCUAUCCAUCAUGUUUGACCGAUCUUCAGAGGAAGUCCGGGCUAAGUUCGUGCCAGCAGCCGCGGUAACACGAACCGGACGAACGUUAUUCGGAAUCACUGGGCUUAAAGAGUCCGUAGGCGGCUUGGUAGGUGAGGUGUGAAAUCCCACGGCUCAACCGUGGAACUGCGCUUCAAACCAUCAAGCUCGAGGGAGAUAGAGGUGCGCGGAACAGAUGGUGGAGCGGUGAAAUGCGUUGAUAUCAUCUGGAACACCGGUGGCGAAAGCGGCGCACUGGGUCUCUUCUGACGCUGAGGGACGAAAGCGAGGGUAGCGAACGGGAUUAGAUACCCCCGUAGUCC